rnacentral:rRNA from 1 species
CCUACGGGAGGCAGCAGUGAGGAAUAUUGGUCAAUGGGCGAAAGCCUGAACCAGCCAAGUAGCGUGAAGGAUGACGGCCCUACGUGUUGUAAACUCCUUUUAUACGGGAAUAACUCGCGGUACGUGUGUCUCUUUGCAUGUACCUUAUGAAUAAGGAACGGCUAAUUCCGUGCCAGCAGCCGCGGUAAUCCGGAGGGUCCGGGCGUUAUCCGGAUUUAUGGGGUUUAACGGGAGCGUAGUGGGCAGGGCAAGUCUGCUGUGAAAGGUUGGGGCUCAACCCUGGCAUUGCAGUGGAAACUGGCGGGCUGGAGUGCAGGGGAGGUAGGCGGAAUUCGUAGUGUAGCGGUGAAAUGCGUAGAUAUGACGAAGAACCCCGAUUGCGAAGGCAGCUUACUGAACUGUAACUGACGUUGAUGCUCGAAAGCGUGGGUAUCGAACAGGAUUAGAUACCCGAGUAGUC